rnacentral:snRNA from 1 species
GGCCCGACUCUACACAUGUGCUG